CUUAGUCGACUUUUUGGUACAGGGUUUUACAGACGGUUUCCACACCGGCCUUAAUGCACUUCUCUCUGGUAUUCACAAAUGUCCAAACCUUCACUCCACUGUACUUGACCCCCUCAACAUGGACGUCUUGCUCAGCACAACGCAAUAGGUAGAGCCACAGGAGCCACAGGAGAAUUCACCAAUAAAAAAGGUUGGCUAUUCCUCAACGUUUGCGAGUGUCCAUCAGUUAUC